CAGAGUUGCAAGACUCCCUAAACCAUUGUGAACCUACCUUCUACCGUUGCUAUCGGCGGGCGGGCCCAGCGCCCCCCCGGCCCCCCGCGGGCGCCCGUCCGGAGGAUACCCAAACUCUUGACAUUAGUGGCCUCUCUGAGUAUUCUUUACUGAAUAAGUCA
rnacentral:misc_RNA from 1 species